GACGAACGCUGGCGGCGUGCUUAACACAUGCCAGUCGAACGGAAAGGCCCUGCUUUUGUGGGGUGCUCGAGUGGCGAAAGGGUGAGUAACACGUGAGUAACCUGCCCUUGACUUUGGGAUAACUUCAGGAAACUGGGGCUAAUACCGGAUAGGAGCUCCUGCUGCAUGGUGGGGGUUGGAAAGUUUCGGCGGUUGGGGAUGGACUCGCGGCUUAUCAGCUUGUUGGUGGGGUAGUGGCUUACCAAGGCUUUGACGGGUAGCCGGACUGAGAGGGUGACCGGCCACAUUGGGACUGAGAUACGGCCCAGACUCCUACGGGAGGCAGCAGUGGGGAAUAUUGCACAAUGGGCGGAAGCCUGAUGCAGCAACGCCGCGUGCGGGAUGACGGCCUUCGGGUUGUAAACCGCUUUCGCCUGUGACGAAGCGUGAGUGACGGUAAUGGGUAAAGAAGCACCGGCUAACUACGUG
rnacentral:rRNA from 1 species